AGUGAACGCUGGCGGUAGGCCUAACACAUGCAAGUCGAACGGCAGCACAGUAAGAGCUUGCUCUUACGGGUGGCGAGUGGCGGACGGGUGAGGAAUACAUCGGAAUCUACUUUUUCGUGGGGGAUAACGUAGGGAAACUUACGCUAAUACCGCAUAUGACCUACGGGUGAAAGCAGGGGAUCUUCGGACCUUGCGCGAUUGAAUGAGCCGAUGUCGGAUUAGCUAGUUGGCGGGGUAAAGGCCUACCAAGGCGACGAUCCGUAGCUGGUCUGAGAGGAUGAUCAGCCACACUGGAACUGAGACACGGUCCAGACUCCUACGGGAGGCAGCAGUGGGGAAUAUUGGACAAUGGGCGCAAGCCUGAUCCAGCCAUACCGCGUGGGUGAAGAAGGCCUUCGGGUUGUAAAGCCCUUUUGUUGGGAAAGAAAAGCAGCAGGUUAAUACCCCGCUGUUCUGACGGUACCCAAAGAAUAAGCACCGGCUAACUUCGUG
rnacentral:rRNA from 1 species